CUUUGUCUUUCUCCCUUAUCUCUAUUUUCCUCCACACACUUCUUCACAUUUUGUCUUCUUUCAAGUUUCAACACCUCUCUCUAUCUAACUCUAUUUCACAUAUUGCAUGCUUAACCCAAUACCCACACUUCAACAAAGAGAUUUCUGUGAGUCAUAGUUUCCUUCGCACAAUAAGGCUUCGCCUCAUGGCUCAUCAAGAAUCAAGACCCACUUCGGUUCCACUAAGGAAAAAUAGAGAGAUCUCAGCAAACCUAAAGAAAAUGAAGAACAACAAAGAGAGAGAGAGUUGGUCGCCGGUCAUUGACUGAAGAUUGGAUCAGAGCAGAGCAAAGGAAAGGGAGAUACUGCAUAAGGGAAGAUUUCGCUAUAUUCCGAUGUUUUUUUUUUUUUUUUUUUUUUUUGCAUUUUAAGGAAUCCUAAUUUGCAAGGGAUUGAUUUUUUUUUUUUUUUUCCUUAGUUAAUUUGUGAAUUUGUUUUAGAUUUUUUUGUGUUUGGAUUUGGAAAUUUGUUAUUGAAUUGAACUUGGGCUAGACGCUAUUUUAUUGUGGUCUUUGUAGCAAUUAAUUUAUCAAAGGGUUCUGGGGCUGCAAAUGGCGAUCUGCCUUGAUUUAUCAAAGGGUAAAAUUGAGUUUUUAAGAAAAUAGAGUGGGAAAUUUAGGAAAUAGUCGGUGGCUUUCCAACAGUAAUGUUUAAAGGCGCUUUCGCUUUUGCUUUUGCAAAAGCAACUGAAAGCUGUCUACACAUAAAGUGUUCAUCCUUCACAUUUCAAAACGCAACUUUUUGGAGAAAGCAACUUUUAAAAGCAUUGCCAAACGCACAUAAAUUUUUUGUCUCAAAAAGCGCGUUUUAGCUUCUAAAAGCUGAAACAAACACACACAUUUUGCGCAUUUUCCAAUGGGUGCAUUUUUUAGUGGGUUCCAUGCACUAUUCACGGGACCCGCAAGUACUUUUUUCAGUAAAAACAACGUUAAAACUGAGUCUCACAGUACUAUUCACACAUUUAAAAAUUAUUUGCUACAGUGUUUUUAGUUUUUAGUAAUAAGCGGUAUUCAAACAAACCCUUAGUAGUUAAUACCUAUGUACCUGUUCAACAACUUUGAGAUUUUUAAAUUAGGUCUUUUUUUAUAUAUUUAAAUAUUAAUUAAAUAAUGUUUAUUACUUUUUUUUUUUUUUUUUUUUGCUUUUUGAGAUACAAAAUUACUAAUUAAGUUUUUGUAUUUAAAUUUUAAACCUACACAAAUAAAAAUUAAUUUAUUACAUAGUUCAAUAAGUUAGUAUCAUUAUUAUACAAAUGAGUUAGUAUGAUAUAUAUCAAAUUACCAAUAGGUGUAAUAAUCUAUAUAUAUAAUAAUAGGUGAAGCAGAGAAAAACUUAAAUUCUACUUAAAUUAGAAUUCCUAAUUAGAGUUCUAAUUUUGUGCCAUGUGUCUAGAUUUAUCCUUCUAAGUGUUCAAUUCAAAUCUGAAAUUGGAGUCCAAUUUUGCCCCAUCUCUUAAGAAAUGUUGUCCUCCACUCCUUUUUUCCUGAAUAAAAUGCUAGGUUCACCUUCCCUUCUAGAAAUAUGUGUUUUACAUUAAAUGUUGUGCUAUUUUUUUUUUUUUUUUUUGGCUAAAUAAAACCUGUUGAUAUCAGACACACCUGGUUCACCUCCCCUUCUACAAUAAUCAAACGCAAAUUAGAAAUACAGCUCCCCACAGAUCCAAAACUCUUAGAUUCAACACCUCCAGAACUCACACUUCGACCCCAACAACACCCACGAUGACUUCUUGGAGCCUUCAUGUUCUUGGCCUGACCUCAACCCUAAAACCCCGUGGGACCUCAAGCCUAGAGACCUCUCCGAUGAAAUGCCACCGUCUAACCCUAACAACAAUGUUCCUUACCAGUUCGACCAUGACUCUUCCACCCUUGCUUCCAAGCUCCGUAACCACCAGAUUUCCAGCGCUACUAAUUCUUCCGCCGCAACUGUUGCCACUGCCAUCAUGCUCCAGCAGCAACUCUUCAUGUCUCGCAGUGCCAACGCCGAAGUUGAAGAGUCUGGUCUGAUACAGAUGCCGCUUUCUUUGGGUGCCUCCGAUGAUGUCGUUGAUGGGUCAUCAUCUUUCAAGUCUCCCAAUACGGUGGAAAGGGAAAUCCUUGGAAGCAAUCCAAGUCUGAGUAGAAGCAGCACUACCAAGUAUAGUUUCUACUUUAUUGGAACCAUCACCGGUGAUUGAUUUUACAAUCUGCAUACUAUGCUGCCAACCAUGUCUUCUUUGCUGGAUGCUACUUCUUUCUUUACAACAAUCUGAACCUAAACAGGGUUUGCUAUGACUUGAGCUACAUUGUCUAAGGAAGUCAAACACUUUAGUGAGAGUUUUGUUUUUUUGUUUAUGUGUCCUUAGUAUGUUUAAUUAUUUGGUUGAUUUAUUAAUUGACAUGCUAUAUCAAUAUAGCUAUUCUGACAUAUAGAAAAAAAGCCCAUUUAAAACUAUACAAUGUUUAAGUUAAAAAGUGAAAGGUUAUACCGUAUGAAACAAACACGUCUAAAACAAUUAAAGCCAGAUGCUAAAUCUCACACAAACAUUAAACCCACUCAUCCAAAGCUAACUGCCAUUAAAACUACCUAUUUUCUUCCUCAAAUAAACAUAUUUUUCAAUAUGUUUAGGCUUUUGGGUUAGAUUUGAUUAGUUUAUAUUAGAUUUCCUUUUCACUGUUCAAGUGAUGUCACAAGGCAGUAAGAGAGAAGAGCAAGAAAAAAUAUUGUACACAAAGAAGGUAUAGGCAAUAGGGAGAGGCUUUGGUUGAACUUUGAAGUUAACAAAGAAGACAGAUUAGUCUCUUUCUCUCUAUAUCUCUUUCUUUAUUUUAUUUUUUUUUUGAAAAAAUUUUUGUGCUUUUUUUUUAGUUCUAAAUUUUAGAUAUCAUAGUUUUUUAUUGCGCAAAUGUUACUAUUUUAUUAUUUAUUGGCAUUUUUUUAGGCACCCAUGAAAUAUCUUCAACCCACAAUUCAAAUGUUAACAGGUACUAGAUCUCUUGGAGAUAGCAAAAGAUAUCACUUUCUUACCCUUUUUCAUAACCAUCAUAACUCCAAAGUCAAAAUAGAGCAACGUCUUUGCCAAACAAACUUCUUCUUCUCUUAUUGUGUAUGCUGUGUUUAUAUUCAAUUGCUACUCGAAUCAAUUUCUUCUAAAGAAAAACUCAUACAAUAUAUCCCCUGUUUUUUUAAGCGGGGCAGGUUAGUAUGAUUUCAAGAGAGAGGAAUAUGCAAAUAUGUCUAUUUUCUUAAUGCCAAUCUCUUUCUCUCUCCUUGGAAGACUGACAAUUAAGGGGUUUUAUUUUUUUAAAAGGCACUAUUUCGUUUCCCUAUCCUAAAAAACAAUAAAUAUAUAUAUAUAUAUAUAUAUAUAUAUUGUUUUUGUAUUUGAAUAAAUGCUUGAAUGUGUGAUGAAACCCAAAUACCUAAAUAUUUAUUGCAAGUUUGGGUAUCUUAGUAUCUAUUUUUUUUGUUAGUUUUUAUCACUCAUGUUGUUGAAUAAUUUUUUUUGUUGAAUUAUUUUUGAAAAUUUGUGCACUCAUCUUAAUUUCACUGAAUUUUGCAUAUAAAUUCAUGUUGCUAUUGCAUAUAACCUCAUGUUUAAGUUGUUUUUCGUAUUAAAUAAGUAGUGUGGUACUCAGUUAAGGUACAUCAAGAUGUUUCUUCAUAUUUAGGUGUGGGUAGACUCAUUACAUGACUUUAAGUGUCCAUAUUCUAAAUUUCCAACAUAUGUGCACCUUGACAGCAAGUGUAAACUAUAAUAUGGUGACAUUUACUAGUUGCGUUCAUAACUAGGACUCUUUCUUUUUUUUCUUUUUUUUUCUUUCGUACAUGCUUGCUUUUUGUUUCCUUUUAAAGGUUGGAUGGAAUACCAUGUUGUCUUUGGCAAGAUGCUAUAUGGGAUGGAUGUUGUCUACAAGAGUGAAGUAGAAGGAUAUCUUCCUUUAUUGUUUUGGGAUGUUAUUGGUCAAAUAUAUAUAAAUUUUACCAUUUACCUAGAGAUGGUGUCUUUAAGAAAAGUCUUCAAAAAUCUUAUCCACAGUCCAUCUAUUUCAAAGUUAUUUUCUUAGAACAAUGGUCACAGUCCAUAUGCAGUUUAUUAACAAAUUAACUAUUUUUAAAUGGAUAACAUUAGAACUACGUUUUGAUCCAAUUUAGUAUUGGUUUCUUAUGAGCAUUCAACGUUACAACCUUAUACCCAAUUCUUGAUAUGCAUGUGUUUGCACUUGCACCCAAUUAGGGACCAACAAAUUGGAUAAUUUAUGAUAUAAUAAUCCUUUGAGUUUUAUAGUGCAACUCAAUGCAUCAUUUUAUGUUUUAUGCUAAUGCUAUUUUUUAUGAAUAUUUUAUUUUUUAUUUUGCUAGGUCUUAAUUGCUACUUGGAGCCAGAGAGCAAUUGAAAAAGAGGUAGAGACAAAUAAGAAAAUGAAUAUUGAUGAAACUGAGAAAAGUGCAAAUAUUAUCAAGAUCCUAAUGAAAUAGGAGUUGAUGGAAAAGGACAAUGGUAGGAAGCAUCAAGAAAUUGAAAACCAAAUGUACACAGCUCAAGGAAAGAGCAAGGCAAUGCAGAUUUCUAUUGGUACCAGCUCUUAUCUUUUAAUGAUUGGUAUUGAGAAAAUUCAAUAAUGGAAGACUUGGAUAGGCCUACCAUAGCCACUUCCUUUGCACUUACAUAGGCUUGGACAUUUGAUCUUGAGAGACCAAUUUUUAGUUUUAAUCAGUGCAAGUACAAAAUAAGGAUUGGCUUUAAGGGAUC